AUUUAAAUAGCUUAUAUAGAGUAUAACAUUGAAGAUGUUAGGGAAACCUUUAGGUUUUUAAGUA
rnacentral:tRNA from 1 species